rnacentral:lncRNA from 1 species
CUCUGUGGAGCAGCCCCUCAGCCCUCUCCAGGAGGCUGGCUGUGUGGGGUCCCUGCUCCUGGGCAUUUGCUGUGCAACUUCACAUCAAAACCAACUCCCCCAGCUGGAAUGAGGACCAGGGUUCUGGGAGAGGAGAUGCUGCUUUCAAGAUGCACGUGAACGUGAACUUCUGAAGAGCCUGCAGCACGGCCACCCUGUCCUGCCCAGUCUCCAUUUGGGAGAUUACACCAUUGGGUUCCUGGUUUCACUUUGCCCUCACCAACUUUCCAUACUGUCCAGAGACAGUUUGACGCUUGGAGAACACAGUCACUUUCAGAGGGAGGUGCUUUUGCCGAGGAGAAGGGGCAGGAGAUAACUGGCUGUGUGGGAAGGAUCCACUGGUCGGCUCCAAGGCCAUCGAAUAUGGAGAAACUACUAGUGAGGAAGCCUUCCAGUGGGAGCACUGAAUGUCUGUACACUUAGAUGUCCAGUGAGCUUCAGAAUUAAUCAUGAACAUACCAAAAAAGAAAGUUCUAAGCGAGCGUGAUUGAAGAGGAGAAGGUACAAGAGUCAUCGAAGCCCAAUGGAUAAAAAUGAUGGAUUUGAUCUCUACCCAUAUGGAAAUUUUGAUGUUAGAUAAAAACAGUUGAAAAUUUUCUUUACUCAGUUAUAAGACAGUAAAAGUUAAUAGUGUGAACAAAAUGGCGGAGGAGUAAAGUGGUUGAGAAAAAAUUUUUUUUGAAUAUUUUAAAAUCAUUUAUGUACAUGUAAAAAUAAAGUCCCUAACUAUGUGCGAUAUCUGCUUAAUUCUGUUAACAGUUAAUUUUGUUAGCUCAGUCUGAGUUACUAUCAUAUUUGAACAUAAUAAAACUUUUUUUUUUAAAGUAGUCUGCAAUGAAGACUUUUAGUAACUCACGACAUCUGUUACCCCCAUUUCAUUCCAAUUUUGAUUUAAAUAAUUGGUAAGAAAGUGAAUGCCUCCUAUACCGUCUUUGAGUUUUCAGUGCCCAGCAUUGAGCCUGGCUCAUGGAGGGUGUUCAGAAAACAUCUGUGGACAGAAUGAAAGCCGUGCUUUAUGUAGAUUUUAAAUUAAAACGUGGCAAGAUUUUGAGUCAAAAUAAUAUUUUAGAUUUCCUGGUCGUACAGAUUCAAAAAGAGAGCCAUCUCUAAAUGUUCUGAAAAUGUUGGUCUGUCUCAGUUCUCUUAUAAGAGUAGUUGAAAAUUCAUAGAAUACAGCUACGUCAUCUUGGCCUUUGGGCAACAGGAAAACCAAAAGCUGGAGAGGGCCCUCUGGAACAGUGUGAGGGGGAGACCCCAGGUCAUUGUUUUUGAACUUUAACAAAAAUCAUUUUGCAUGUGGACAGUAUUUUUAACUUUUCAGUCUGUGACCCUGUAUUAAUUUUUAUUCUCAUAGCAAUCUGUGUGAGAGGUAAGGCAGAUAUGACACCUGAUUCUCAUUUUUUUUUUUUU